rnacentral:lncRNA from 1 species
AUGCAAACCUUCCUUAUUAUGCCUCUAAAAAAAAAUCACUAUUGUUCUAAGAGGAGAGCUGGGAAGAGGUUGCAGCAUCCGCUGGGCACUGAAGACGCAGCUUGUGAAGUUCCAGAAACGGAAGACAGAAGACGUUCAAACCUGUUCUCUUGUCCUGACUGGGCAGCGAGUCAAUAGAUCCUGCCAGAUACUUUUUUCUCCUUUGGGUUUUACAUACACAGAAUCAUAAAAAGCUAGAGCUGAAAAGGACGUCAGAAGUCAUUAGUCCUACCCUUUUGUUUCAAGAAUCAGAAAAAUAAGGUCCAUAAA